rnacentral:ncRNA from 1 species
AACAGGGGUGCACGUUAUGUGCUGAGACAUACCCUUAUCACCUGAUCUAGUUCGUACUAGCGUAGGGAGUUCA